rnacentral:rRNA from 1 species
AAUACCGCAUAUGCCAUAAUCAUCACAUGAUGGAAGUGGGAAAGGAGUAAUCCGCUAAUAGAUGGGCUCGCGUCUGAUUAGAUAGUUGGUGGGGUAACGGCCUACCAAGUCAACGAUCAGUAGCCGGACUGAGAGGUUGAACGGCCACAUUGGGACUGAGAUACGGCCCAGACUCCUACGGGAGGCAGCAGUCGGGAAUAUUGCGCAAUGGAGGAAACUCUGACGCAGUGACGCCGCGUAUAGGAAGAAGGUCUUCGGAUUGUAAACUAUUGUCGUUAGGGAAGAAAAAGGACAGUACCUAAGGAGGAAGCUCCGGCUAACUACGUGCCAGCAGCCGCGGUAAUACGUAGGGAGCAAGCGUUAUCCGGAUUUAUUGGGUGUAAAGGGUGCGUAGACGGGAUAAUAAGUUAGUUGUGAAAUCCCUCGGCUUAACUGAGGAACUGCAACUAAAAUUGUUAUUCUUGAGUGUUGGAGAGGAAAGCGGAAUUCCUAGUGUAGCGGUGAAAUGCGUAGAUAUUAGGAGGAACACCAGUGGCGAAGGCGGCUUUCUGGACAAUAACUGACGUUGAGGCACGAAAGUGUGGGGAGCAAACAGGAUUAGAUACCCUGGUAGUCCACACCGUAAACGAUGAAUACUAGGUGUAGGUUAUGUCAUGUAAUCUGUGCCGUCGC